CCUCCCUGUCCAACACCAGGGCCUUCUGGAGGCAGUGCAGGGUUCUGGUCUUCCUCAUGGGAUAGAGCACUGGGCUUGUUUUCCCUCCCCGCUGGAUGGUGUUCCUCCUGGGGCCUAAAGAGAAGCCGACAGU
ensembl:snoRNA small nucleolar RNA SNORA49